rnacentral:rRNA from 1 species
GUGGAUUAGAUACCCUGGUAGUCCUAGCCGUAAACGAUGGGUACUAGGUGUUGGCCGUAUCGACCCGGUCAGUGCCGUAGCUAACGCGUUAAGUACCCCGCCUGGGGAGUACGGUCGCAAGAUUGAAACUCAAAGGAAUUGACGGGGGCCCGCACAAGCGGUGGAGUAUGUGGUUUAAUUCGAUGCAACGCGAAGAACCUUACCAAGGCUUGACAUGUCGUGAAUCCUCUUGAAAGGGAGGAGUGCCUUCGGGAGCACGAACACAGGUGGUGCACGGCUGUCGACAACU